rnacentral:lncRNA from 1 species
GUGCAUCAGCUCCAUUCCACAUGGUCCACUAUAAAUUCCCUAAACACCAUGAACUAUUAAACAACAUAUCGAUAACAAAUGAACGAUGCGUGAUUGAAAUGUUACCUCUUUGUAGAACAUGAAACCGUCACCGCCAGGAUCCAUUUGAAAAGUUACAGGCUGAUGUGCCACUGCUUUCAAUAGCGCUUCUUCAUCGUGUUCUGGCAAAUACUCGGUUCCAUCAACAGUUACCGAGUGAUGACCAUACUGAUGUAUCGCAUGUUUCCCUUUUACCUACAUAAGGGUAGAACUCAUCUGUAGCU